rnacentral:siRNA from 1 species
CUGAGAAGGAUAGGUGGUAGGUA